AGAGUUUGAUCCUGGCUCAGGACGAACGCUGGCGGCGUGCCUAAUACAUGCAAGUAGAACGCUGAAGAGAGGAGCUUGCUCUUCUUGGAUGAGUUGCGAACGGGUGAGUAACGCGUAGGUAACCUGCCUUGUAGCGGGGGAUAACUAUUGGAAACGAUAGCUAAUACCGCAUAACAAUGGAUGACACAUGUCAUUUAUUUGAAAGGGGCAAUUGCUCCACUACAAGAUGGACCUGCGUUGUAUUAGCUAGUAGGUGAGGUAAUGGCUCACCUAGGCGACGAUACAUAGCCGACCUGAGAGGGUGAUCGGCCACACUGGGACUGAGACACGGCCCAGACUCCUACGGGAGGCAGCAGUAGGGAAUCUUCGGCAAUGGGGGCAACCCUGACCGAGCAACGCCGCGUGAGUGAAGAAGGUUCUCGGAUCGUAAAGCUCUGUUGUAAGUCAAGAACGGGUGUGAGAGUGGAAAGUUCACACUGUGACGGUAGCUUACCAGAAAGGGACGGCUAACUACGUGCCAGCAGCCGCGGUAAUACGUAGGUCCCGAGCGUUGUCCGGAUUUAUUGGGCGUAAAGCGAGCGCAGGCGGUUUGAUAAGUCUGGAGUUAAAGGCUGUGGCUCAACCAUAGUUCGCUUUGGAAACUGUCAAACUUGAGUGCAGAAGGGGAGAGUGGAAUUCCAUGUGUAGCGGUGAAAUGCGUAGAUAUAUGGAGGAACACCGGUGGCGAAAGCGGCUCUCUGGUCUGUAACUGACGCUGAGGCUCGAAAGCGUGGGGAGCGAACAGGAUUAGAUACCCUGGUAGUCCACGCCGUAAACGAUGAGUGCUAGGUGUUGGAUCCUUUCCGGGAUUCAGUGCCGCAGCUAACGCAUUAAGCACUCCGCCUGGGGAGUACGACCGCAAGGUUGAAACUCAAAGGAAUUGACGGGGGCCCGCACAAGCGGUGGAGCAUGUGGUUUAAUUCGAAGCAACGCGAAGAACCUUACCAGGUCUUGACAUCCCGAUGCUAUUUCUAGAGAUAGAAAGUUACUUCGGUACAUCGGUGACAGGUGGUGCAUGGUUGUCGUCAGCUCGUGUCGUGAGAUGUUGGGUUAAGUCCCGCAACGAGCGCAACCCUUAUUGUUAGUUGCCAUCAUUCAGUUGGGCACUCUAGCGAGACUGCCGGUAAUAAACCGGAGGAAGGUGGGGAUGACGUCAAAUCAUCAUGCCCCUUAUGACCUGGGCUACACACGUGCUACAAUGGUUGGUACAACGAGUUGCGAGUCGGUGACGGCGAGCUAAUCUCUUAAAGCCAAUCUCAGUUCGGAUUGUAGGCUGCAACUCGCCUACAUGAAGUCGGAAUCGCUAGUAAUCGCGGAUCAGCACGCCGCGGUGAAUACGUUCCCGGGCCUUGUACACACCGCCCGUCACACCACGAGAGUUUGUAACACCCGAAGUCGGUGAGGUAACCUUUUGGAGCCAGCCGCCUAAGGUGGGACAGAUGAUUGGGGUGAAGUCGUAACAAGGUA
rnacentral:rRNA from 1 species